UGGGGAAUAUUGCACAAUGGGCGCAAGCCUGAUGCAGCCAUGCCGCGUGUGUGAAGAAGGCCUUCGGGUUGUAAAGCACUUUCAGCGAGGAGGAAGGUGGUGAACUUAAUACGUUCAUCAAUUGACGUUACUCGCAGAAGAAGCACCGGCUAACUCCGUGCCAGCAGCCGCGGUAAUACGGAGGGUGCAAGCGUUAAUCGGAAUUACUGGGCGUAAAGCGCACGCAGGCGGUUUGUUAAGUCAGAUGUGAAAUCCCCGGGCUCAACCUGGGAACUGCAUUUGAAACUGGCAAGCUAGAGUCUCGUAGAGGGGGGUAGAAUUCCAGGUGUAGCGGUGAAAUGCGUAGAGAUCUGGAGGAAUACCGGUGGCGAAGGCGGCCCCCUGGACGAAGACUGACGCUCAGGUGCGAAAGCGUGGGGAGCAAACAGG
rnacentral:rRNA from 3 species